AAAUUUUUGUGGUUUCCUAUGCUUUUUGCAGAAAAGAAAACUUUCAAUAAUAUAAUUUCUUGAAUGUUGAUAGAUGCCUGGGAUUGUCAGUACCAGUGUUUUCUGAUCACCAUUUCCACGCAGUGCUGUUCUUCUUCAGCUUUCUCUGAAUGUGUUAAGCAGAAGCAUCUCAGUUGUGAACUGGCAACCAUUGCUCCAGUAUCCUCUACUGCUCUCCCAGCACUUCUCUGGGGACUCUCAGCACUCAGAAAAGAUGAUUAUGACAGAAUUCUAACACAGUAAAAUACAUCAAGGAAUAUGUGACUGAAGCUUUGGCUUCUCCCUUUAUUCCUGUGCAGAAUUGGCACCUGGAAUUAUGGCAAGUAUCAUUUUCUUUUCAGUCUGUGUAGUUGGAUUGAUACACAAAUACUGAGGAAGUUGAUUUGCCUGUGGGCAAUGUUUUGUUAAAUACAUUUCUGUCAUCCAGCAGUGUUCUGGUUCCUGGCUGAGCCCCGGUUUUGCUGCAGCAGCCUGGUCCUGGCUGUGCACUGCCAGUUAUUGGAGGUGGCACUGGAAAUAAUGGAUACAGCUCCAGGCUGGAGCUUAUUUCCACUUGGGUUUAGAUGUCUUUCUUUCCUCAAGCACACAAGUAUCUAAUGUCUACCAAAGGAAAUGGGCUAUAAAUCAAAAUCUUCUGGCUCCUGUGUUCAGCAAGAACUCCUAACCCUCCGUUUUACAUUUUGUGUUCUUUUCAGUUUAAAUAUUGACACAUUUCUCGAGCCAAUUGCUCAAAGUUCCCUUUGUGUAACUCAGUGACAGCCUGAGUAACUGUGCCAGGACACUGAAUAAUACAGUAUUCCCUCUAAUUUUCAUUGCUAUGGUUGUGUGAGUUUAAUAUUAAGUUACUAAUUUUUGGAUAUGAAGGCAAUCAGUAUUAGAGUAAAAAUGCUAUGAAUCCUAAUAUUGGUAUGAACAUAAAAUUUAAUAUUUAAUACUUACUGCUCUAGUGAGACAUUGAGCAAAACACAAAAUGAUGAUAAAGGAGUAAGAAGGUUCUUAAAUAUGCUAGAAAAUGUGGGAUUCUGCUUGUCCAAAAACACCUCAGGAGCUGAUCAAUUAAGAUGAAAGAGACACUUGUUCAGCAGCAGUUAAUGACAUCUACCUUUGACAAGGUUAGAGUGUUUAAAUCCCUGAUACUCUGGGUGAUUAUCCAGACUGCUUUGGGAAGGUGUAAUGUAUUUCUGUAGAAACUGCAGAAAAAGUUAAAAUACCCUGUUUAUACUUUGUAUUGUAUUCAGUAUUCUGGGGCUGAAAUUUAGCAGUAUUUUCAAUAGAAUGGUUUAAAAUGAACUAUAACUGUGCUGUUUCCUACUCAGGUUUUUUAGUACUUUUAUAUGAAGGUGGUAAUUUUAAAAAGAUGAUGAAAGUCACCUUUUCAGAGCUGUAACACAUGAACUGAAUUAAAUAAAUCAUUGGAUUGACC
rnacentral:lncRNA from 1 species